AAGCAUUCAUUUGAUCAUGGGUACUUUAGCGGCGUGUAACUCGAACGAGUCUAAAAGGUAAUAUAACUUGCUAAAUUGUGAAGAAUGCUGGAUAUUCAGGUCUCCCUUACUAGUUCGUUGUGUAGUCUUGAUUUCAAAAAAGAAAAGUGAAAAAUAAAAAUGUUAAAAAUCUCGACAAAAGGGAGGAGACAAAUGAAAAAACCCAGUCUCGGAGAUAA
rnacentral:lncRNA from 1 species